UGCAAGUCGAGGGGCAGCAUGAUUGAAGCUUGCUUCAAUUGAUGGCGACCGGCGCACGGGUGAGUAACGCGUAUCCAACCUUCCGUACACUCAGGGAUAGCCUUUCGAAAGAAAGAUUAAUACCUGAUGGUACGAUGAGAUUGCAUGAUAGCAUCAUUAAAGAUUCAUCGGUGUACGAUGGGGAUGCGUUCCAUUAGGUAGUAGGCGGGGUAACGGCCCACCUAGCCUACGAUGGAUAGGGGUUCUGAGAGGAAGGUCCCCCACAUUGGAACUGAGACACGGUCCAAACUCCUACGGGAGGCAGCAGUGAGGAAUAUUGGUCAAUGGACGAGAGUCUGAACCAGCCAAGUAGCGUGAAGGAUGAAGGUCCUACGGAUUGUAAACUUCUUUUAUAAGGGAAUAAAACCUCCCACGUGUGGGAGCUUGUAUGUACCUUAUGAAUAAGCAUCGGCUAACUCCGUGCCAGCAGCCGCGGUAAUACGGAGGAUGCGAGCGUUAUCCGGAUUUAUUGGGUUUAAAGGGAGCGCAGACGGGUCGUUAAGUCAGCUGUGAAAGUUUGGGGCUCAACCUUAAAAUUGCAGUUGAUACUGGCGUCCUUGAGUGCGGUUGAGGUGUGCGGAAUUCGUGGUGUAGCGGUGAAAUGCUUAGAUAUCACGAAGAACUCCGAUUGCGAAGGCAGCACACUAAGCCGUAACUGACGUUCAUGCUCGAAA
rnacentral:rRNA from 1 species